rnacentral:rRNA from 1 species
GACGAACGCUGGCGGCGUGCUUAACACAUGCAAGUCGAACGGAAAGGCCCUGCUUUUGUGGGGUGCUCGAGUGGCGAACGGGUGAGUAACACGUGAGUAUCCUGCCCUUGACUUUGGGAUAACUUCAGGAAACUGGGGCUCAUACCGGAUAGGAGCUCCUGCUGCAUGGUGUGGGUUGGAAAGUUUCGGCGGUUGGGGAUGGACUCGCGGCUUAUCAGCUUGUUGGUGGGGUAGUGGCUUACCAAGGCUUCGACGGGUAGCCGGCCUGAGAGGGUGACCGGCCACAUUGGGACUAAGAUACGGCGCAGACUCCUACGGGAGGCAGCAGUGGGAAGUAUUGCACAAUGGGCGGAAGCGUGAGGCAGCAACUCCGCGUGCGGGAAGACGGCCUACGGGUUGUAAACCGCUUUCGCCUGUGACGAAGCGUGAGUGACGGUAAUGGGUAAAGAAGCACCGGCUAACUACGUG